rnacentral:rRNA from 1 species
ACGAACGCUGGCGGCGUGCUUAACACAUGCAAGUCGAACGGAAAGGCCCUGCUUUUGUGGGGUGCUCGCGUGGCGAACGGGUGAGUAACACGUGAGUAACCUGCCCUUGACUUUGGGAUAACUUCAGGAAACUGGGGCUAAUACCGGAUAGGAGCUCCUGCUGCAUGGUGGGGGUUGGAAAGUUUCGGCGGUUGGGGAUGGACUCGCGGCUUAUCAGCUUGUUGGUGGGGUAGUGGCUUACCAAGGCUUUGACGGGUAGCCGGCCUGAGAGGGUGACCGGCCACAUUGGGACUGAGAUACGGCCCAGACUCCUACGGGAGGCAGCAGUGGGGAAUAUUGCACAAUGGGCGGAAGCCGGAUGCAGCAACGCCGCGUGCGGGAUGACGGCCUUCGGGCUGUAAACCGCUUUCGCCUGUGACGAAGCGUGAGUGACGGUAAUGGGUAAAGAAGCACCGGCUAACUACGU